rnacentral:rRNA from 1 species
CAGGGCGGAGCGCAGGCGACGAGGCGCGGGCUGGGAGUGGCGGGGCAUCACGGUUUCGGUUGUGCUGGUCGACCGCACCGUAGUGUAGUGUGAGGGCGGCGUGGGCCCCGGAGGACAGGACAGGACAGGAGUGGCGCUCACGGGCGUGGUGCGCCGCUGCGUAAGGUGAAGGUGGGGGGAAGUUUAGAGAGAGAAGCAGAGGCUCUUCGAGCCAGAGUGCGUGGUGGUUGCGCCGCAAGAGGAGAGGUGGCACGGCUGGUAGCCUGGCUCGCCGCGGCGCCGACUGGGUCGCACUACACCGCGGUACGCCGCCGGGCCGCCAGCCGCGUCUAGGCGGCCGAGGACAGGUGCAGGCGGGGGAGCCGCCCGCGGCCGAGGCGGCACGCGCCGGGGACGUAGCACGUGUUCGCGCCGUGGCUGUAGGAAGUGCUGGGGACCAUGUUGUUCCUGUGCCGCAAGGGGGAGUGCCUCGCUCUGGCGGAGCCGGAGGCCCCGGACGAGGGCGGCGCCCAGUACAGCAAGCUCGUCGUCAUGCUCGCGAAGUAUUUGAGCAUGGUAAGCGACCUCGUGUUGUGCGUCCCCCUCGGGCUAAGGCACCAGAGCGACCGGUUCACCUCCUAGGAAUUGUCCGACGUGCUGGCCUUGCUCUGUAACAUGAUGUCCCACGAUUAACUGUUAUAGUUCCUAAAGCGUGGUUAUUAUAUGUGGGGAUGACAGCCGAACCAGACGCUUUUGAUGUCGCCCGACAAGUCCGCAGGGGCGCCCUACAUGAAGUCGCGUUUCCUAUUUCCCCUCUACUACAGCUACUAAAUGUUGACCGGUCGUCUCUUCCAACUGUACUAUCAACACUGACUGCCCUCAGCGUAAGAUCCAAAUCCACUAGAACCUCAAGUUCCGUAUCCAUAUGGAUAACCAUUUGAACUACAAAUACAACGUCGACGACCAUAGUUGGGUGUCUUCCAAGAGGGCUAUUACGAACUGCACCCUUGUUUAUUACUUCUUGAGGAACUUCUGUUCGAUAUAAAUCCUAACUCCGUUGGAUCCAACCUUCCUCUCCUUAUGAAUCGACAACAUCUACUCAAGUACCUUCGACAAGUACGUGCGACCGGCUUUCGUUAACACGUCAAACUUCUGAAGGUUUACUUUACCCGUAAACUUUGAGAAGUCUCCAUAGCCUCGGCUAAAACGUACAAGUUACUACUGCACGUCCCCUGUCGUCCUCAACGAGAUCGACCAGAUGAACCUCGACAAUCUCGUGUUCCAGCUGGGGAGCGUCUAAAAUGAUUCGUCUUCUAUCAACACCACCCUCGACCUUCACGACCCUAUCCACACGAAUUGUACCGAUUUGUACGUUACAAUUCCUACGGUCCCUGGGUAUUUUAACCUCUUGACCCGCUUCCUGUGUUAGUUAAGACCCAAGACCUGUUUCUACCGGAAUAAUGGUUUUCAUCUUUUCUAGACCUAGGUCGACAACGAGCAAAACGAUCUCCAAUACCAGGACUUCUCCAGCUUCUAGAGGUACUCCCCCGAUCAGAACAACUUCACCAGUUCUUUCACUUCGGAGUACAGGAAAAUCCUGAUAGACCUCAACCGCCCUAUAAAUUACUCCUCCAAGAGUUCCGAUACUUUCUUAGACUGAGGGGGACGGGACGUUAAAAACGUUACAGGUUGGGUUGUUGAUUUCGACUUACAUGUGGACUUCUACAUAAGUUCGUACAACCUCUUUUACGUCAUAAACGGUCACCUUCAGGAAAGUCAUUACAAUGAAAUUCGUUACCAUCUUUUCCGAUACGAUUAGUUCGUUUGUUGUACAUAGACAAAGGACCCUAACCAAAUCCUCGGGAAGACAGUCCACGAGCCGUAUAAAGCCUACCGUACGAGGUACGACGUCGACUCACGGAACGAAGUAUGUAGUGUCUACUACGCUAAGCUUUUCCUUAGGAGAAAGGAAGUUAAAGUUCAUAGUCCGUGUAGUGACGUGCACAGCCGCGACGUCAGCGGGCACGACGACAACUACUUCUAGACCGGCUCCCUACGGGGCUGAACCUAGGAGCCCUGGAGUCCUCGUACAGUCUCAGCCUAUGCCACCUGAUGCACCGAGCCUUCUACACCAUGGGACAAAUGUCGGGUGAGCAGUUGCUGUUUAUCACAAGCUUCUUCGUGUGGGCUUGUCUGCAUAGUCCGUGUAUGUAAACAAGACUAGUCACUUAUGAAACGAUAAAGCCAAAUCGACGAGAUGAACCCUCAUAAAGUCGUCUAUGACGACGGUGCAGAUGACCGAUAUAACAACGGAGUAAACAAAUGCAACUGUCCAAGUAGUUUGUAACGAGUUAAAACUCUGGGUAACUCGAUGUCAAUACAGGGUACAGCAUCCUGAACUUAUUUACAGUCUACAACCGUCAGACAGAGGACGUAGAAGUAACAACCGCAUACAGAGAACGCAGCGGUAUCAAUAUGAUUAGUUUGUGGCGUUUAUAAGUACACCACGAAAUGAGAAUCUUCGAGUGAUCAAGUAUGGUGAGCGGACCGAAGAGUAAAAAGAAAAAGAAAACUUUGCGGAGGAAUAACUAAAAGUAAUAUUUUUUAACGUUGUAUCAAAAUGUUUCCG